UGCCACAAGCCAAGAUACCAUCUGCAUAGAGAAAAAGACGUUGAAAUAAUGCAAAUAAAUUAGAGAGACUAUCAAAGAAAGAUGAAUUUCUGGGCCUCAGCUUCACUUAACGAAAAUAAACAAAGAAUAAUCAAAAUGCCUAGAUAGAGUUGACAAUUCCAUUCAUUUGAGAUUUUACAGCUUAAACUUUAAUGUGAUUAUGGUUAUAUGGUUAUUCGUCCCAAUUAAAUUCCGUCUUUACAGGGCUCUUCCAAAGCACACAUGAAAGUACUUGCAAAGCUAUCAGGAAGAAAUGUUGUCAAAUUAGUUCAAUAGUGAUGUACUCACAACAUCAUUCAUGUCAAAGGCAUUGAUGAAGUAUAAAUCACUAGUUUGACUAGAGAAUAAUACUAACAAUCACCAGAGCCAGGACCGAGCAAAAGUUAUGCCGCAGACAGAUUUUCACAAAGACCAGUGAAAAGCUUUCAGAGGAAAUUUACAGUAGAUCACCAAAUCAUUGAACCAAAGGGCAGAAGGAAGAGAAUUUAAGUGUAAAGUAACACUUUAGUUUUAAAUAUUGUUCUAGAACAAGCAAAAGCCAUUCCACUUUCUAGAUUGCCUGAAGUUAAUGGUCACUAGUUUCAUGUUUUGCAUCUUAACAAAAUAGGAGUUCUGUUGAACUGGUUCCACCAUUGCCAUUGAUAAAUCCUAGAAGUAUGCAUGACAUAUUAUCAACAUUGAUAAAUCCUAAAAGUAUGUCAUCAUGACAUAUUAUCAACAAGAUACCAAGUUGGUCAGUGUUAAGAGUGCAAAAAAUAAUUGAUGCCAUGACCUAUCUGAAUCCAUUUGCUGCAUGGCAAAUAGGAUGUUGAAGAUAUCGUAUAUAAGUCAAUGAAACAAGAAGGAUGUCAAAUAGGAAACAAUCUGGCCACUAACACAAUUUGCAAACAAAGAGCUUAGUUUUUCUUCGAAUUUUUGUGAUUUAAUAAUUUACUCAAAUACCCAAAUCACAUCACAAAUUACAUCAAAUACCCAAAUCACAAGUAGAUUUUCCACAAGUAACCAUUUUAACAAGCAUACAAGUCAUACAGGACAAUAUUCCUGAUUCAAUAAUGGUAACAGAAUGUAGAUUUCACAACAAAGGUAUAUUACUACAUCUACACAUGCAGGAUUUUCUUUUGAAUUGCUUGGUUUCUAAAAAUUCUCAGACAACAUGGACAAUAAGUUGUUAGCUUCCCUAAAUACACAACUUCUGAAUUCACAAUAGAUUCAACUCUCAAAGAACUAGACAAUAUAUGGCUAUUAGAUCUUUAAAAAA
rnacentral:misc_RNA from 1 species